UGACGACAGAUGUUCUAUAUAAGCCUGCACUGGUAAUUUAUCCAAAACUUCGUUGUCCUGAUGGGUGUCAUUUCAUCAUAUAUGGUACUAAAAAAAACACACCUUAAAUCUAAUCUAGGGGGAGUCGUUUUUAAUGUUGUUCGUUUUGUUAAAGUAAUCUCUUUAAGUGUUCCGUGUGAUGGGCUACUUACCCGUCGCCUCAACCCAUCUUUUUAUCGUUCUACGGGUGAAUUAUUAUAUGUCUUAUAUUUCUUAAAAAGUCUACUUUUAAAAUUACGCAAUCAUCUCAGAUACGGAGUAGACCCCUUUUAGAAUAAGGUCUCAUGGUGAAAACAGAUAUUUUGAAAGCACAUUAUAAAAAGACGAAAUUCGCAAAUUCAUGUCGCAAUUAGAAACCUAACUUAUGUCAAAUAAAGUCGAUCGCAACAAAUCUAAGUUGACACUGGAACAUAAUUCACCAAACCGCUCCGCAACUGACUUCAACAGUCAAAGUCAAUUGGUAUCCAUCCUCAGGUUCCGCAAAUGGCAUACAUCUACAUAAAGAAACGUCCACGAUCGAGAUAAAUACAAGCUCCAAAAUCGUAUCCCUUAUAUUACGAAAGUUAUCCAUCUGAAACAAACACACCAAUUAAAGAUACUGUUGAUGAAACAGGAGCAGCAAGUCACCGAAACAAACAAGUUCGGAAACUACAUCCAGAUUCGAGACAAUUCCAAAUGUCUCAGUUAAUAUAUACCACUGAAUUCGGUGCAAUAUAGGAGCAUGUUAAAAUAAGAAUCCUGCCCAAAUAUUUCGUCUUGACGCAUAAAACUCAAUUCGUAAGUGUAACCCGUUCAGCAGGUAUGGCGUUAUGAACAGCUAUAAGCACACCUCCACCAAGUCUACCUACUCUAUCACAUAAACUUGUUAUUGAUCAGAAAAAAGUUAAAUAUUACCGAUGCCAGGUUUAAGCCAAAUCACUACCAACAGAUUUCAAAUAGAUGUCCCUAAGUUUAGUAUUAAAGCCUCCAACAUUCCGAUUAGGUAUAAACAAAGAAUGAAUCAGUUUUGUGAAACAGAAGGAAUAACCACAGGCAGCGAUGUGCUCUUCAGAUGUUCCAGAAUGCAGUCUGGAUAUAAAAACGCUUUUCGUCGGAGCCACCACUACAAGUAAGAAAGACUCGGUUUCAACAACGCGACGGAAAGUAUGCUCCGAAAAAUAAAAUAGCAGAAGUAUUCUAUUUAGACAAAUGAAGUGGUAGAGAGCAAACAACAAAGCAAUAAUACCAAACGUGAAUCAAAACAAAUAAAACAGGCAGCAAACGACCCGAAAUUUGAACGCAGAAUCUUCUACUUAUCUCAAUAACGAGCACGUAACAGCGCAAGAUUUCACGUCGCACUAAAAGGGCGAGACUAAUUUUCGCAAAUUAUUUAUCACAGGGUCAAUGAAACUCGCAGUGACUCUUUAAAUCUCUUGAUUAUACCCUCCACCAUAGGAUAGGUGGUAUACUAAUUUCAUCAUACAGUUUGUAAAACCUCGAAAUAUGCGUCUAAGACCUCAUAAACUAUAUAUAUUCUUGAUCGUCACGACAUUUUGAGUCGAUAUAGCCAUGUCCGUCCGCCCGUCUGUCGAAAGCACGCUAACUUACGAGGAGUAAGUUGAAAUCGUAUACAAAUAUAUCUUAUAAGUUUAGGUCAGUUGGGAUUGUAAAUGGCCAAAUCGGUCCAUGUUUUGAUAUUCAGCCAUAUAAACCGCUCUUGAGCAUCUGGGGGCGCAAUUCUUAUCCAAUGUGGCUGAAAUUUUGUACGUGAUGUUUUAGUAUCACUUCGAACAACUGUGCUAAGUUGUAAUACCAUUUUUUAAAUUUUUUUAACGAAGUUUAAAUUUACUGGUACUACUUGUACUGUACAGACAAAAUUUUAGUACUAGCCUAUAGUAGGGAGUAUUGACUACUUAUAAUUGAUAAUUACAUAUAUACUUGUACUCAUCGGAGUUUGGCUUGCCUGGCUACAUGGCUGCGAAACCUCAUUUUAACAUUAUUUUCUUUAUCAACCAUCAAGCAGUUAAGUAAAAAAGUCUAUGACAUGUUUUUAUCUCAAUUUUUAUACCAUUCAGGAAUCCUAGCCUCUUUGCUGAGGUCCUCGAGCUUCAAGACGACCCACCAAUACUUCGCUUUCGUAGGACGUUUCUUGCAAUAAAACCACCUACAAAAAAAUCUUCAAACCAAAGGUUUUAAAAAACACUCAGAGUAGAGAAUCUCAUCAUAGUCAUAUAUUUGUCAUCGUUUAUACACAUCGUCCACCUAAGUAACUAUGGGUUAUGUAAGCAAAAACAUUAAACGUUCCAUCUGACCACAGCGUUAUUAUUAAGUAAAAAGCCGAAAGUAAAGGAAUUAAAUUGUAUUAGUCAAAAUAAGCUGGGUUUGAAGACAGCUAAGUAUCAUGGAUAUACCCUAAAAUGAAAACAAAAUUAUCUUAAAUUAUUUUUUUUUAGUUUAUUCCGUUGAAUGGAGCAGACGUAUUGUUAUUUCACUCUGCAAAAAUUUUCCUGUAACUCGUAAUAGGUCAAUAUUUUUGAAAGAAAACUUUAAAUCACUCAGCGAUAGCUGCGGUAGAGGUAUCCAUUAGGCGGUUGAUGAUCUGUGUCUGUUUCCAGUGGAGCGGUAGAUCUCGAGCCCGGGAGUAGGCUUAGAAUGGACUUUAAAGACCCCACAGCUGCGGUGGUGAUAUCAGGACGUAGCAUGUUGUAUGCUACUGAAACCUUGACUGGUGGAGCGACUGCUCCAGGCUCCACUAGCCGACAGACGACUGGUCAGGAGGGGCUUUUGAGGAAGACAUCUGGUUCGAGUCUCAAGGACAAAGCCGAACCUAUUCUUUCUUCAGAUGCCUAUAAUUUGCCUUAGGCGUAAAAGUGCUCGCUUAUGCUGAUGACGUGGCAAUUGCGAUUAGAGGAAAGUUUCCCACACUCUAAGAGAUAUACUUCAGGAAGCUCUACGUGCACAGCAAAGUGGGCUACCGAAAGUGGUCUAGGUGUAAAUCCGUGCAAGACAGAAGUAGUUCUUUUCAGCAGGAGAUACAAGUUGCCGACAGUGGAACCCGUUUCCUGGGUGUUUUGCUGGACAGGAAAUUGAACUUCAAAUCCAAAUUUUGGAAAGCGCAAGAAAGGCCAUUCUUGCCCUAUACACCUGCAAGAGAGCCAUUGGCAAAUGUUGGAUGUUUAGACCGCGUGUCAUGCAUUGGGUAUAUACUUAAGUUAUCAAACCUAUAAUGCUAUAUGGUGUUGUGGUCUGGUAGACGGCGCUUCAAUAGUCCACCUACUGCUCAGUACUUAACCGAAUCCAAAGGAUGGCUUGUUUGUGCAUCACAGCCGCACUGGGGCCUCUGGACAUUGUGGCUACCCAAAUUGCAGCGACCACUGCCGUGAGAUUAAAGGAGCUUUCAUUGGUCAUGUGGUGACUACGGACACUGUGUUAUCCUUGAUACAAUAUCGAUGUUCCAGGCAGUACAGUAAAAAGUACUGUAGCACUAUUCCUGAUAGAAACCGAUUGGAACUACGAUAUCCCUGGCAACAGAAGUUACAUAGACUUCCAUACGGAUGGUUCCAAACUAAACGACCAGGUGGGCUUUGGGGUGUACUCUUAAGAUUUAGAACUGGUCAUAUCGAAAAGGUUACCGGACCACAAAGAUGGUCACAAAGAGGGGCUGUGAGCAUUCCAAAACUAUGUGGCUUAAUCUAAAAUUGAAGAGGUCUACUUGUUGAGAAUUGAAUGAAAUACACCUUAUGCUAAACACUUUGCUUUACUAUAUUACAAUUUACAUUAGUAUGACUUUGUUAUAUAAAACUCUUUGUGAAAUAUGUAAUACUAUUUUAGAAUUUAGUUCAAUAAACGUAUUCAAUUUAA